GUUUAAUUAAAGCCUCAGGUUCAGGCGUUGACUUCUCCUCCAUCUGAGAGAUGGCUCUGAUCCUCAGGGCUGGGCUGUCUCUUCAUGAAGUGGGAGCAGCCACAACUUGGUGAUGGAUCAGGAUCACCCCACGCCUGAACCUGAGGCUUUAAUUAAACUUCUCAAAUCUCUACCUUGUGCCACCCUCUGCCCUUCACUCUCCUUGGGCUCAGCUGGAAGGAAGGGAGAUUUGAGACACUGAAAAAUACAGCGUUUGAUUUGCUAAUUCCCAAUAAAAGGGAGUCGAGAGAAAUUUAUGUUCAGGGCUUUAGGAAGUGUGGGUGUUGGCUCCGUCCUAAUGCCUGAAACUCACUGCGCCCCUGAGGGAGCAGCAGGUUUCCUCCUGCGAAUGACUGCGAUCUCUCAACUAAACUCCACCCAGGAAACCUGUGUUCACGUGAGGCAGGCGAGAGAAUAAUGGCUCAGAGACCCAGCAGAAGCCCCUGCUGACCUUGGGGUGUCCUCUAGCACCUGACAGAGGACACACCUGGAGGACCACGUGGCACUGCCGGCCCAGACUUAAAAUAUGGAAUUAAUCCCCAAUAGGUAAAAAGUGGGAGAUUUCCAUGAAUUCACCAGUUCACACAUCAUUUACCGUACCCUAGCUGAGCUGGGCACUGCUGUGGGUGCUGGGGAUAGAUGCUCGGGGAACAGAGACCCUGCCUGCGUGCAGACCCCCUUCGUGGGCCCACGUGCAAGCCGGAUCCCUGAACGGAUCCAACAGCCUGGGCAGCUGGCACGGGGCUCUCCUUGCUGCAGCAUCUGUGGGUGAAGCCGCUGCUCCCCUUGGGACUGCACCCUCUCUGCGCCACAGUCCCCACCACGCCCUAUCGCUCCCACGUUGGGGCUGAUGCCACUUGCUGUUUGUCACCAAUUGGGUGACGCUUCCUCAGAAUGGACCAACAGGGAAAGGGAAGAGCUUUUGUUUUGUUUUGUUUUGUUUUUAUGCUUACCAAAAAUAGGAAAACAGAAGAUAGACCAUGGGGACUGAGUGUUUCCAGAACCCCUGGACGAACAUUUCCGCACAGUUGUGGAAAAUUCGUGGUUGAAAGUCCAAACUCUGAGAGCCAGUUGGCCUGGGCUCUCCCUCAGCCUCAUCCUGGCUGGAGGAUCGAGCAGCUUCCUGUGUCUCAGACCCUCAGGUUCCUCGUCUGUGAGUGGGGAUGAGAACAGCACCUGCCACUUCUGGCUCUUUUUUAAAAACAAUUUUAAUAGAGAUGGGGCCUCACUAUGUUGCCCAGGCUGGUCUCAAACUCCUGGGCUCAAGCAAUCCACCCACCUCGGCCUCCCAAAGUGCUGGGAUUACAGGGGUGAGCCACUGCAUCCGGCCCCUUUUCUGGCUCUUACGAGGGUUGAGUGAGCCUGUACACCUGAAGAAUAUAAUAUGCAAAUAAAACCCCAUCCGGCAUGCAGGUCACUUCCUGGCCCCUGAUGGUGUUUGAUUUUUCAACCCCUGUGAAUGGGCAUCAGACUCAGAGCUUUGGGCAGAUGAGGCCUUAGCUAGUUGUGAAUAACAUCAUUUUGCCUUCAUUUCACGUUCAAGCCACCUUCUGUUUAUGGAAACAGGACUCCCAGGAUAAAAAGUUCCCUUUCUAACCAGACCAGCUGAGACUGGUUGAAACCAAGAUAGCUGACCGAGAAACUUCAAAAAGACCUUCAGCCUUAUUAUCAUCUCAUUUCCAUGCUCAGUGACACGCCCACAGUGCCAUGAUGGUUGGAAAUCACCAUGACGAUGACUGGAGGAAGGAAGGUCGCGCUCCGGUUCCAGGAAGCUCACUGCCCGCUCCCGGAAAAGACAUGAAUAUUCCUCCCCUUGCUUGGGCCACGGAAUGAAGCCUGCACUGCGGACACUCACUUUCGGUUUCAUGUAUUGGCUUCGUGACACCCCACAGCGAAAGACCCUCUGUUCUGGGGGAAUGACUGUGUUGGUGACAAAACCAUGCUUUCUGGAUCACUGUGGUAUUACGGCAGGGCUUGAAGUCAGGUAUGUGGGUUCUCCAACUCUGUUCUUUUUUCUUCCUCAUGGUGUUGGCUGUCCGAGGACUUUCGCCUUUCCAUAUGAACUUUAGACUCAGGUGGCAUCGCCUGCAGAAUGCCUUGCUGGGAUUGGCCGGGAUUGAACGUUAGACUCAGGUGGCAUCACCUGCAGAAUGCCUUGCUGGGAUUGGCCGGGAUUGAACGUUAGACUCAGGUGGCAUCACCUGCAGAAUGCCUUGCUGGGACUGGCUGGGAUUGAACGUUAGACUCAGGUGGCAUCGCCUGCAGAAUGCCUUGCGGGGAUUGGCUGGGAUUGAACGUUAGACUCAGGUGGCAUCGCCUGCAGAAUGCCUUGAGGGGAUUGGCCGGGAUUGAACGUUAGACUCAGGUGGCAUCGCCUGCAGAAUGCUUUGCUGGGAUUGGCUGGGAUUGAACGUUAGACUCAGGUGGCAUCGCCUGCAGAAUGCCUUGCUGGGAUUGGCCGGGAUUGAACGUUAGACUCAGGUGGCAUCGCCUGCAGAAUGCCUUGCUGGGAUUGGCCGGGAUUGAACGUUAGACUCAGGUGGCAUCACCUGCAGAAUGCCUUGCUGGGAUUGGCUGGGAUUGAACGUUAGACUCAGGUGGCAUCGCCUGCAGAAUGCCUUGCGGGGAUUGGCUGGGAUUGCAGCGAAUCACCUCUUGGCUCUAAUAGCCAAAAUUCAUAGCUGUGCAGAACUCUCUUUGAAAAAAUGGCCAAUGAUUACAUAAGAGUGAAUCCAAUUCCCAUUAACAAAUCUUAAUAUAAUACAUCCAACAAAGCUACGUGUAGAAACUAAGUGACAUCAAACAUAUGCUUGUCGUAAUCACGUGUGUUGAAAACUGUGUUGAAAAGUGCACCAGGUGCCAGUAGGGGCCAAGGGACCUAGGCCCCUUGCCAAGGUCAGCGCAUGCUGACCUGCGCUGGUGGUCGGGUGGAGGGCUCCAUUUGCAAACAGGCGACAGUUGGCUGCCAAUCUUGUUGAUCAUUUAUUUGCUGAUCAAAAAGGAAUUCUGUCAGUACUGUGCACCCUAACACAAUAUUUGGACCUUCAUACAUGUAUUAGUCGGUUUUCCUGCUGCUAAUAAAGACAUACCCAAGACUGGGUAAUUUAUAAAGGAAAGAGGUUUAAUGGACUCACAGUUCCGCAUGGCUGGGGAGGCCUCACAAUCAUGGUGAAUGGCAAAGGAGGAGCAAAGUUGCAUCUUACAUGGCAGCAAGCAAGAGGCCUUGUGCAGGGGAACUCCCAUUUAUAAAACCAUUAGAUCUCAUGAGACUUACUCACUAUCACGAGAACGGCAUGGGAAAUGUCUGCCUCCAUGAUUCAAUUACUUCCCACCAGGUCCCUCCCACAACACAUGGGAAUUAUGGGAGCUACAAUUCAAGAUGAGAUUUGGGUGGGGACUCAGCCAAACCAUAUCGAUACAUAAGCAUUUUACUGGGCUUUGGCUGUAUUAAGGGAUUGAUUGGAGAUUUUAAGAUCAUACAUUAUAAUUUUUCCCAUUUAAAAUAAUGCAAAAUGUGUUCUUCAUUGAUGCUUCCAAGCACAGAUUCUGACAUUUUGCAACAGGAUUCCAAUGUUAAGAGAAAGCUCCGUGUCACUUACUGGUUCUGAUGGGUCAGACCUGGACUCGGGGAAUGGAGGGGCUGGGUUCCUCCUAAACCACAGGGACUGAGGUGGGGUACGAGUGACUACCCAAAAGAACACUGGGGUUCAUUUAGCAACAGGAUGGGAAAUGGAUACUGAAAAGCAAAAUAACAAAUUUUACAAAAAUGUUUUCUGUCCAAGAAUUAAAUAUGUGACACAUCAAUGUGUUCAAUGUCCUUACAUAUUAUGCGUAAGACAUCUGGGCACAGAUAGGAAGGCAGGACAGGUCUGAGCACCUCCCGCCACCUCUCCCCUCCCGGCUCAGGAAAGCUGCUCACAGCUGCAGCCAGCCCGGCCCCCCGCCCUCACCUGCUCCCCCUGCUGUCUCCAGAGUCCCUGGGCUUUCUCCCCCUCCACCUGUUUCCUCUCCUUGGGCUGCCUCUCCCAGGCUAAACAUGCCCGGGGCACAUCAGUGUUGAAAAGAGCUGUUUCUCUGCUGUCCUCACCCCUAAGCUACAGGCUACACCUUGUUUCCCACCCACGGAGAAUCUUCUAGGGAAAUUAGUGCACAGGAUAAGCUUUUAACAGAUUAUCAGAAACGUUUUCAUCCUAGUGUUUCCUGUGACCAUGUGGCCCGCCCAUCCAGGAUGGUCUGCAUCCAGGGAAAGAUGGGGAAGAGGGGAGGGCAGGCCCAGUGGGGGCCUCCCCACCCACAGGCCCCUCCUCCUCCUGAUGGAGCAGCCCCAUCUGCUACAAGCACUCCCCAGGGGUGCGGGGUUCAUGCUUAGAGCAGCAAUCAUUCCUGUUUAUCUGAAAUUCAAAUCUGCCUGGCAUCAGGUACAUUCAUUUACUAACCUGCAGCUCCACCUGGAAUGAUUUGGGACAGCCCUUCCCAUCUCCCUGGGAAGGAUCAGUGGUGUUUGGACAGGCACUUUGCACCCUGGGUGCCUGUGAGGUGGGUUCCCCUUCAAGAAGAGGCCUAACCAGUGCUCCUGCUCCCUGGGUCGGGUCUCCUCACAGCCCAGGGUCUGGGUGGUCUGCAGGGCAGGCUGUUCUCUGUUCCUCCAGCAAGGAUGACCACUGCAGGUGGGGCUGCAGGGAGGCCAGGUGCUACCAGGUAGAGGCCAGAGCUGGGUCGCUCAGUUCGCUCUGCUCUUGUCCUCAGACCCCGAUGCCAGCUCUAGAAAGAGGGGCCCUUUUGCCUUGGCCUCUCCAUGGGGCACAGGCCUCCCUCCCCACCCCACCACGGCAGUGGGGGCAUGAGCUCCAGGGACACCUGCUUUCCUCACAGCCCUGCCCUGAGGACGCUGAUUUGCCUUCUUGCCACAGGUCCAGAAAAGUCUGGAUUUGAUCCUGGCACCGAGGAGGGUCUCUGUGAGCUUGGACUCCUCUCCUGACAGGGGGAAGGGCAGGGCCAGUGCAUCUCACAGCCAUGGCAGGCUGAUGGGACUGUCACACAGCUUUUUGGCCUUGAACUCAGGGCUUAAUGUUAUCAUAUCACUUAAUACUCCCAGGGACCUGGGUGAGGUACAGUCCCAUUCCCAUUUGACAGAGAGGAGGCUGGGGUGCACUGAGAGGUAAUCAGUGUGCUGGCGACAUUUAACAGCCAGCUCUCCAGAAACAUAAAUCACCCUGAUUUGUGGAGAUUGCCAGGUUCCCAGGCACAAAUAUUCCCAGCACAUCCAAUUUCAAGUGCUAGCAGUUUAACAACUGGCUCAUAAAACCCCUGAAAAUGUGAGAGUCGGCUCCCACAAGCUGCUGUGGGACAGCCCCAGCUCCCUGAUAACCUUCUAGGACCUGCCCUAGUUGGGGAGGAGACGGAUCCAGACCCCAAGGGCCUGGACACCAGGGGGGCUCCACUCAGAUCCUCUGGCCCUCACCAUUCCCAGGACCCCCUCUUGGGCUUCUGUGUUCUUCUCUCUCCAGGGCUGGCUCCUGACACUCCUCUUUAAACAACUGUCCUUAGGCCACUGAGCCCGACCAGCCCCACUGCAGUGAGCCGAAGUGGCCUGGGGGCCAGCCAUGCUGAAGCUGCCUCCUCCCAGCUUGUGGGAUAUGAUUUUGGUGUUUACAGUUUUCAGGAAUUAUAUAAACCAGGUAUGACACAGGCUGAACAUCAGUCAUGGUGAAAUUAUUCACAUCCCAGGAACCUGGCAGGGGCUGUGCUGCUGCUGCCCCUGGGAGUGAGUUGUCCCACACUCAGCAGCUCGCCCUGUCUCAUCCUCCCCACCUAGCGAGGCUUUGACCAGUGACGGGGGUGUGGGAACCUCCAACAGGGCGGCUGAGGCUGGGUUCACGCUCCAGGGCGCCCCUGCAGGACCACAAGGAAGCCAUUGCAGUCAGGAGACCUGGCGCUCAAAGCUUCGCUUAUCCUGACCCUGUGCCUCUCCCCGCUCCCUCCCGGCCCUCCCUUCACGCGUCACCUGUUCCCAAGUCCUCAUCCCAGGAUCUGCUUCCGGGGACCAGGCCUGAUAGGCUCCAAAGCUCUGCUCUUAACCAGCACCGCAACUGGAGGAAAAGCAGGAGGCAUUUGGCUGUUGAUGAUCAUGACAUUUUCAUUAUUCUGUGUGGUUUGGGUUUAUUUUACCCAAGGAGCACAGUCCACAGAAAAUAGAACAUUUCAGGAAUACCAACCAAGCUAAGUAACAUGUUCACAUGAUAUUUAUUAAAACUGUGAUGAAACCGGCUCCACAAACCGUUGAUAGAAGAUGGGCUGUGUAAAACCGGUACUGGGAAAACGGGUUGUCUGUGUGGAGGAAAGUAAGACUGAAUCGCUAACCAAUACUGCAAAC
rnacentral:lncRNA from 1 species